GGAUGUGCAGGCAAGCUGGCAGGGACAUCUGUCACAGUGCUGACGGCCAGUGUAGAUUUGGCUGGUCCAGCUGGCUGGGCGGGGUUCCUCCUUUCCCUUGGUGCUCCUCC
rnacentral:snRNA from 1 species